rnacentral:lncRNA from 1 species
UCAUAAAUUUUACUUUCUUAGCAGAUUCUUUAGUUUCUAGAUACAAAGGUUGAUUAUGAUUGCUUGUCUUGUGCAUAACCAGUAUUAUGAGUUGACAAAUGAGACGAGGUAUUGUAAUCCUACUAUUGAAUUGUUAUAAUAUAUAGCUGUUGAACAGCUGUUCAUAAUUCAUUGUGUUUAUAAUGAAUCAUUUAGAUUUUUAUAUAUAUGUGAUCUUGUUGAUUUUUAAUAAUUUUAAUAAAGAA